UUUUUGUGUAGAUAUGGAUUUCUAUGUUAAAUGUUUGAUCGUCGGUUUUAUUUAAUUAUUUUAUGAUUAGUAUUUUUGUUGUUCUUAGAUGAUAAAAUAUUAAUAGUACUUUAUACAUGACUUACUUUUAAAAAAUUUUAAAUACGAUGAAUGGUUAAAUGUUAUAUAUAGAAACCCACAGCUGCACUUAAA
rnacentral:pre_miRNA from 1 species